rnacentral:rRNA from 1 species
CCCUUAGAUGUUCUGGGCCGCACGCGCGCUACACUGAUGCAUUCAACGAGCCUAUCCUUGACCGAGAGGUCCGGGUAAUCUUUGAAACUGCAUCGUGAUGGGGCUAGAUUAUUGCAAUUAUUAAUCUUCAACGAGGAAUGCCUAGUAAGCGUGAUUCAUCAAAUCGCGUUGAUUACGUCCCUGCCCUUUGUACACACCGCCCGUCGCUCCUACCGAUUGAGUGUGUCGGUGAGGAGUUUGGAUUGGCCUCGGAAGGUGGUUCGCCACCGUCCGUAGCUGAGAAGUUCUCCAAACCGCCCCACUUAGAGGAAGGAGAAGUCGUANCA